rnacentral:rRNA from 1 species
UACGAAGGUCCCAAGCGUUAUCCGGAUUUAUUGGGUUUAAAGGGUGCGUAGGCGGCUUAUUAAGUCAGUGGUGAAAGCCCCAAGCUUAACCUGGGAACUGCCAUUGAUACUGAUGAGCUUGAGUAGAUUUGAGGCGGGCGGAAUGUGUCGUGUAGCGGUGAAAUGCUUAGAUAUGACACAGAACACCAAUUGCGUAGGCAGCUCGCUAAACUCUUACUGACGCUGAGGCACGAAGGCAUGGGGAUCAAACAGG